GAUUUGACUGUCUGCAGGAGGUGAUUCCAGGGGCUGACAAGAAAAGUGGAACUCAGAGAUGAAAGUGAAUGAUAUGAAGGGAGAAGUAUCUGUGCUGCGGGGUUUUUUUCCCCCACAAGUAAAGCAGCACACAAUCCCUGCCCAAGCCUGCAGUGACUCUGUGAAGUGUCCAGUAGUUCUGUGACCAUUAGCUGGGAGUGGGCAAUUAUGGUCUGGAGAGCAGCUAUUCUGUCAAGAGGAACUACGCUUAGACUAGAAUAGCAAGACAAAACUGAGAAGCCUGGGCCAAAAUGUGAUGGGGAAGAAUGCGCACCAACUGCUCCUUAGCAUGGUUCAAGCACUGCAGAGCCAAUACAGCUGUGGGAAAGUGAGAUGGAUUCUAUUCUGACUCUCCCAUCAUUUUCAGAAUCAUUAAUCAAGUUCCACAUGUGAGACGAAAGGUUUUCCUGAAUGGGAUUGCACAGGUGUACGGUCCUCAUAUGCAGAAGCACUCAAUACCCUCACCUCCUAUUGACGUGUAAUAUGAAGUUCAAUAUCUUGAAGGA